AUUGAACGCUGGCGGCAUGCCUUACACAUGCAAGUCGAACGGCAGCACGGGAGCAAUCCUGGUGGCGAGUGGCGAACGGGUGAGUAAUAUAUCGGAACGUGCCCAGUCGUGGGGAUAACGUAGCGAAAGCUACGCUAAUACCGCAUACGAUCUAUGGAUGAAAGCGGGGGGAUCGCAAGACCUCGCGCGAUUGGAGCGGCCGAUAUCAGAUUAGGUAGUUGGUGAGGUAAAGGCUCACCAAGCCGACGAUCUGUAGCUGGUCUGAGAGGACGACCAGCCACACUGGGACUGAGACACGGCCCAGACUCCUACGGGAGGCAGCAGUGGGGAAUUUUUGGGACAAUGGGCGCAAGCCUGAUCCAGCAAUGCCGCGUGCAGGAUGAAGGCCUCGGUUGUAACGUGACGUUUGUUACGGUAACGGAAACGGUAGAG
rnacentral:rRNA from 1 species